GCACACUUCAGCAGCACAAACUAGAGCUGGAGGAAUACAAGAAGAUCCACAUGGUCCCUGCACAAGGAGGACACACAAAUGCAUGCAACAUUCCACAUUUUC
rfam:Erinaceus europaeus unplaced genomic scaffold scaffold00075, whole genome shotgun sequence